UUAACAUGAGUUGGUGUCACACCCGGUUUCAGAAGGCAAACCGAAUGCGAACCAUGUACGUGCCAGGAUCAGCAAUUCACGUACACAUCAGUUACAUAACAUGGACAUCAUCACACAGUGCUCAAAAUAGUAUUAAAAGGGAAAUAAUAGUCGAUUACAUCAUGCGUCUGAGACGUCCAUAUAGUCCUUACAAUAAAUCAAAGUGCGAAAACGAAACGUAGAUAAUCGCGGCCUUCACAGACAGCCGACUGGGGGUUGCCGCUAACCCACACCUAGAACUCGUCGUAGUCUUGGAACUCCUAGAAGUCUCCUUCCACAGCUUCAUCUUCUCCUGAGCAGUGGUUGCAAUGCUGACAACCUGGGGGGGUUUGGUGUGUAGAGCAAGAGUGAGUACACUUCAACAUACUCAGCAAGUAUCCUGUUUGGCUGUAGUGGACUAGCUUUAUGUGGGGGUAAGUCAAGCAGUUGCUUUUAGUUGGUCAGUUUAUUAUUUACUAGUAGAAAGCCAUGUUUUAGCAUUAACCCAAGUUAUUAACCCAAAGUACCCUUUCCAAACGGAAAGAAUACCACUUACCAUUACCAUAAGCAUAAUCAUAACCAUCCUCAUUGUCAUCUGUAAACCAAAAUGUCUCUGAUCAAGUACCACUAAUCACUGGAGCUCCCUUGGCCGCUCAUAACCGCGAGCACGGUUGAUAUAUCAGUUUUCAAACACUCUGCAGAGGUUGUGCACUUUACCCACAAGUCGUGAUUCCCUCUUGCCUCGGGCCGAUCAAACCCUUAAACACUACCAAGGUGAAUAGGCAGGGUCUCACUACGUAGCCUUUACAAAGAUUUCCCCGGGGCUGUAGCCGCCCGUUAGGUUUCCUAAAUGUACCGCACUCCUCCCCAAGGGACAAAUCAACCUUGGCAGAGCGAGCCGCAUACACUGAGCCCCAUUGACGACACAACGGCUAAGCGAACUACACCCCGGUUCCUCUAAUUAUUCAGCUAAGGGCGUCCCACUCCACCCUCAUGGUUGCACUGUUUUCCCGGGUGGUCAUCCAUAGAACAGGUCCUUACGGAGAGGCACUCGAGAAACCGCUCGAGCCCCCUUGAAGACCACAAGUACAACAUCAUAAUAAGAGAAGGGAAAACAGCGUAUCAUAUAUAAUCUCAUCAUGUUCAUUGAUUAGAGUUUGAGCAAUAGCAUAGAGCUAAAUAAUAAUAAUCCGACCCAAAUAGGUAAACAAGGACAUGGAUAACAAAAGCUAGUCAAUCCUUAGGUAUAAAUGUGUAAUGCGGGAGGUGAAUUAAAGAAUGAAUAGGACAGAGAUAGUGUCGGGGACCAUAAUUAGGGGUACCCUCAAGACGCCUAAUUCUCAGCUGGUAACCCCCAUCAGCAUAAAGCUGCAGAGGUCUGAUGGGUGCGAUUAAGUCAGGGAUCAGUCCAUACGAGUGACUCGAUCACGCCUCGCCCGAGCCUAGCCUCGGGCAAGGGCAGCCGACCUCGAGGGGUUUCCGUCUCGCUCGAGGCCCCCCUUUUAACGGCGGACACAUCUCCGGCUCGCCCGAGGCCUUGCCUUCGCUAAGAAGCAACCCUGACUAAAUCGCCGCGCCGACCGACCGAGUCACAGGAGCAUUUAACGCAAAGGUAGCCUGACACCUUUAUCCUGACACGCGCCCCCCGGCAGAGCCGAAGUGACCGCCGUCACUUCGCCGCUCCACUGGCCGGUCUGACAGAAGGACAGCGCCGCCUGCGCCACUCCGACUGCAGUGCCACUUGACAGAGUGAGACUGACAGGCAGUCAGGCCUUGCCAAAGGCGCCAUAGGAAACUCCGCUCCGCCCGACCCAGGGCUCGGACUCGGGCUAAGCCCCGGAAGACGGCGAACUCCGCUCCGCCCGACCCAGGGCUCGGACUCGGGCUAAGCCCCGGAAGACGGCGAACUCCGCUCCGCCCGACCCAGGGCUUGGACUCGGGCUAGGCCCCGGAAGACGGCGAACUCCGCUCCGCCCGACCCAGGGCUCGGACUCGGGCUAAGCCCCGGAAGACGGCGAACUCCGCUCCGCCUGACCCAGGGCUCGGACUCGGGCUAAGACCCGGAAGACGGCGAACUCCGCUCCGCCCGACCCAGGGCUCGGACUCGGGCUAAGCCCCGGAAGACGGCGAACUCCGCUCCGCCCGACCCAGGGCUCGGACUCGGGCUAAGCCCCGGAAGACGGCGAACUCCGCUCCGCCCGACCCAGGGCUCGGACUCGGGCUAAGACCCGGAAGACGGUGAACUCCGCUCUGCCCGACCCAGGGCUCGGACUCGGGCUAAGACCCGGAAGACGACGAACUCCGCUUCGCCCGACCCCAGGGCUCGGACACCGCCCUGGCCUCUGCCGACGACCUCCGCCUCGCCCGACCCAGGGGCCUGGACUCGGCCUCGGCCAUGGAAGACAGACUCGACCCCGGCUUCGGAGGAGCCUCCACGUCGCCCGACCUAGGGCACAGGCCCGCCACGUCAACAGGAAGCACCAUCAUCACCCUACCCCGAGCCGACUCGGGCCGCAGAGAACAAGACCGGUGUCCCAUCUGGCUAGCUCCGCCAGAUAGGCAAUGAUGGCGCCCCGCUAGCCCUGUGACGACGGCGGCUCUCAGCUCCCUUACGGAAGCAGGGGGACGUCAGCAAGGACCCAACCGCUCCGACAGCUGUCCCUCCGCCAGGCUCCGUUGCUCCUCCGACAACCACGACACCACACCAGCAGGGUGCCAAGAUCUCUCCGGCUGCCACAUUGGCAUGUACUUAGGGCGCUAGCUCUCCCCCUGCUAGACACGUAGCACUCUGCUACACCCCCAUUGUACACCUGGAUCCUCUCCUUACGCCUAUAAAAGGAAGGACCAGGGCCUUCUUAGAGAAGGUUGGCCGCGCGGGGACGAGGACGGGACAGGCGCUCUCUGGGGGCCGCUCGCUUCCCUCACCCGCGUGGACGCUUGUAACCCCCUACUGCAAGCGCACCCGACCUGGGCGCGGGACGAACACGAAGGCCGCGGGAUUUCCACCUCUCUCACGCCCGUCUCCGACCACCUCGCUUCCCCCCUUCGCGCUCGCCCACGCGCUCGACCCAUCUGGGCUGGGGCACGCGGCACACUCACUCGUCGGCCUGAGGGACCCCCCGGUCUCGAGACGCCGACAGUUGGCGCGCCAGGUAGGGGCCUGCUGCGUGUUGACGAGCAGUUUCCCGUCAAGCUCCAGAUGGGCAGUCUCCAACAACCUCUCCAACCCGGGACGGUGCUCCGUUUCGGGAGUCUUGAGUUCAUGUCCCUCGACGGCAGCUACGACAUGAUACUCCUUCCACCGCCGCGCGACAACGACAAUGGCGGCCGACAACCCGCCCGCCGGCGGCGGAAUCGACGACAUCUUCCCCGCGUGGUGGAAGAACAACAUUCGAGCUCGCCCCGUCCUCUCCCCCGCCAACGGAGGAGGAGGCGGGGCAACCAAGGCCAAGCGAGAGGCCGCGCUUCGUCGGCUGUCGAGCGAAUCGACGUCCCCAGCGCCCCAACGGGGGGCGCGUCGGGCGUCGACCUCGCGUUUGAGACGAAGGCGAGCGCCGUCCCCCCGCGACACGCCAAUCCCGAGCAAGUGGACGACGCCAGCGCGCUCGCGGAGGGCCUGCAGGACGUCGCUCUCGUACCUAAGACGACGACGCGAUCAGUCCCCGACGUGACUAUGUCGCUCCUCGUCGACCAAAAGGUACUGACUGAUUCCCAUCCUACGUCAUUUCGACUCGGCCUCAACCCGCCUAGCGACCUCGCUUUGGCGGGCGCUCUCGUUGAGGCGAGUGCAACCCCUCUUGGGUUUCGUAUGCGGUCGCCUUGGGACCGAUUGAUGGACGUCUCGACCUGCGGGCCCUCUGGGUCCGAGGAAGAUGACGAUCCCAGCAUCUGCUGGGAUUUCUCUGGAUUUGGCAACCCCAGUGCCAUGCGGGACUUUAUGACCGCAUGUGACUACUGCCUCUCCGACUGUUCCGACGGUAGCCGCAGCCUUGACGACAAGGACUGCGGCCCAAGCCGCGAAUGUUUCCACGUCGAGCUAGGGGAUCCCUCCGAAGGCAACCAUCUCGGCAUGCCGGAGGACGGUGAUCUCCCUAGGCCGGUGCCUCGCGCCGACAUCCCGCGGGAGCUAGCUGUGGUCCCCGUUCCGGUGGGGGGUCACGACCCACAGCUCGAGCAAGUCCGCGGGGCGCAGGCCAGGCUCGACGAGGGAGCAGGAGCGCUCGAGUCGAUCCGCCGGGACGUUGGGCAGGUAUGGGCGGGCCAACCCCGGCCGGAAAAAUACGUCACCUGCCCCAGGGUUUCCAGCACCGCGUUGCCAACGACGUCAGGGUCAGGCCGCCACCCGCAUCCAGCGGGGUCGGUCAGAACCUGGCAACCGCAGCGAUGCUCCUCCGCGCGAUGCCGGAGCCAUCAACCACCGAGGGUCGGCGAAUCCAGGGAGAGCUCAAGAAUCUUCUGGAAGGCGCUGCGGCCCGACGGGCCGAGAGCUCUGCCUCCCGAAGGCAGGGAUACCCCUCGGAACCUCAUGCCGCGACUUCCCGAUUCAUGCGGGAAGCCUCGGUCUACACCGGGCGCACGCGCAACACCGCGCCUGCGGCCCCGGGCCACCUCGGCAACGAGCACCAUCGUCGUGACCGUCGGGCCCGCCUCGACGAAUAGGUGCGCCAAGGCUACCACCCCAGGCGUGGGGGACGCUACGACAGCGGGGAGGAUCGGAGUCCCUCGCCCGAACCACCCGGUCUGCAGGCCUUCAGUCGGGCCAUCCGACGGGCGCCGUUCCCGGCCCGGUUCUGACCCCCGACUACUAUCACAAAGUACUCGGGGGAAACGAGACCGGAACUGUGGCUCGCAGAUUACCGCCUGGCCUGCCAACUGGGUGGAACGGACGACGACAACCUCAUCAUCCGCAACCUCCCCCUGUUCCUCUCCGACACUGCUCGCGCCUGGUUGGAGCACCUGCCUCCGGGGCAGAUCUCCAACUGGGAUGAUUUGGUCCAAGCCUUCGCCGGCAAUUUCCAGGGCACGUAUGUGCGCCCCGGGAAUUCCUGGGACCUUCGAAGCUGCCGGCAACAGCCGGGAGAGUCUCUUCGGGACUACAUCUAGCGAUUCUCGAAGCAGCGCACCGAGCUGCCCAACAUCACCGACUCAGAUGUCAUCGGCGCGUUCCUUGCCGGCACCACCUUCCGCGACCUGGUGAGCAAGUUGGGUCGCAAGACCCCCACCAGGGCGAGCGAGCUGAUGGACAUCGCCACCAAGUUCGCCUCUGGCCAGGAGGCGGUCGAGGCCAUCUUCCGAAAGGACAAGCAGCCCCAGGGCCGCCCGUCGGAAGAUGCUCCCGAGGCGUCUACUCCGUGCGGCGCCAAGAAGAAAGGCAAGAAGAAGUCGCAAGCGAAAUGCGACGCCGCCGACGUGGACCUUGUCGCCGCCGCCGAGUACAAGAACCCUCGGAAGCCCCCCGGAGGUGCUAACCUCUUCGACAAGAUGCUCAAGGAGCCGUGCCCCUACCAUCAUGGGCCCGUCAAGCACACCCUCGAGGAGUGCGUCAUGCUUCGGCGCCACUUCCACAAGGCCGGGCCACCCGCAGAGGGUGGCAGGGCCCGCGACGACGACAAAAAGGAAGAUCACCAAGCAGGAGAGUUCCCCGAGGUCCGCGACUGCUUCAUGAUCUACGGAGGGCAUGCGGCGAAUGCCUCGGCUCGGCAUCGCAAGCAAGAGCGCCGGGAGGUCUGCUCGGUGAAGGUGGCGGCGCCAGUCUACCUAGACUGGUCCGACAAGCCCAUCACCUUCGACCAAGCUGACCACCCCGACCACGUGCCGAGCCCGGGGAAAUACCCGCUCGUCGUCGACCCCAUCGUCGGCGACGUCAGGCUCACCAAGGUCCUGAUGGAUGGGGGCAGCUGCCUCAACAUCAUCUACGCCGAGACCCUUAGGCUCCUGCGCGUCGAUCUGUCCUCCGUCCGAGCAGGCGCUGCGCCCUUCCACGGGAUCAUUCCUAGGAAGCGCGUCCAGCCCCUCGGACGGCUCGACCUUCCCGUCUGCUUCGGAACGCCCUCCAACUUCCGAAGGGAGAUUUUGACGUUCGAGGUGGUCGGGUUCCGAGGAACCUACCACGCGGUAUUGGGGAGGCCAUGCUACGCGAAGUUCAUGGCCGUCCCCAACUACACCUACCUAAAGCUCAAGAUGCCGGGCCCCAACGGGGUCAUCACCGUCGGCCCCACGUACAAACACGCGUUCGAAUGCGACGUGGAGUGCGUGGAGUACGCCGAGGCCCUCGCCGAGUCCGCAGCCCUCAUCGCCGACCUGGAGAACCUCUCCAAAGAGGUGCCAGACGUGAAGCGACAUGCCGGCAACUUCGAGCCAGCGGAGACGGUUAAGGCCGUCCCUCUCGACCUCAGUGGCGACACCUCCAAGCAGAUCCGGAUCGGUUCCGGGCUCGACCCCAAAUAGGAAGCAGUGCUCGUCGACUUUCUCCGUGCAAACGCCGACGUCUUUGCGUGGAGUCCCUCGGACAUGCCCGGCAUACCGAGGGAUGUCGCCGAGCACUCGCUGGAUAGUCGGGCCGGAGCCCGACCCGUCAGGCAGCCUCUGCGCCGAUUCGACGAGGAGAAGCGCAGAGUGAUAGGUGAGGAGGUCCACAAGCUAAUGGCAGCAGGGUUCAUCAAAGAGGUAUUCCAUCCCGAAUGGCUUGCCAACCCUGUGCUUGUGAGAAAGAAAGGGGGGAAAUGGCGGAUGUGUGUAGACUACACUGGUCUCAACAAAGCAUGUCUGAAGGUUCCCUACCCUCUACCUCGCAUCGAUCAAAUCGUGGAUUCCACUGCUAGGUGCGAAACCCUGUCCUUCCUCGAUGCCUACUCAGGGUAUCACCAAAUCCGGAUGAAAGAGUCCGACCAGCUCGCGACUUCUUUCAUCACGCCCUUCGGCAUGUACUGCUAUGUCACCAUGCCGUUCGGUUUGAGGAAUGCGGGCGCGACGUACCAGCGGUGCAUGAACCAUGUGUUCGGCGAACACAUCGGUCGCACAGUCGAGGCCUACGUCGAUGACAUCGUAGUCAAGACAAGGAAGGCUUCCAACCUCCUCUCCGACCUUGAAGUGACAUUCCGAUGUCUCAAAGCGAAAGGCGUCAAGCUCAAUCCCGAGAAGUGUGUCUUCGGGGUGCCCCGGGGCAUGCUCUUGGGGUUCAUCGUCUCCGAGCGAGGCAUCGAAGCCAACCCGGAGAAGAUCGCAGCUAUCACUAGCAUGGGGCCCAUCAAGGACUUAAAAGGCGUACAGAGGGUCAUGGGAUGUCUCGCGGCCCUGAGCCGCUUCAUCUCACGCCUCGGCGAAAGAGGCCUGCCUCUGUACCGCCUGUUAAGGAAGGCCGAGUGUUUCGCUUGGACCCCUGAGGCCGAGGAAGCUCUCGGGAACCUGAAGGCGCUUCUUACAAAGGCGCCUAUCUUGGUACCCCCAGCUGAUGGAGAAGCCCUCUUGGUCUACGUCGCCGCGACCACUCAGGUGGUUAGCGCCGCGAUUGUGGUCGAGAGGCAAGAAGAGGGGCAUGCAUUGCCCAUUCAGAAGCCAGUUUACUUCGUCAGUGAGGUACUAUCCGAAACCAAGAUCUGCUACCCACAAGUUCAGAAGCUACUGUAUGCAGUGAUCCUGACAAGGCGAAAGUUGCGACAUUACUUCGAGUCUCAUCCGGUAACUGUGGUGUCAUCCUUCCCCCUGGGGGAGAUCAUCCAGUGCCGAGAGGCCUCGGGCAGGAUCGCAAAGUGGGCGGUGGAAAUCAUGGGCGAGACAAUCUCGUUCGCCCCUCGGAAGGCCAUCAAGUCCCAGGUAUUGGCGGACUUCGUAGCCGAAUGGGUCGACACCCAGCUGCCGACGGCUCCGAUCCAACCGGAGCUCUGGACCAUGUUUUUCGAUGGGUCGCUGAUGAAGACGGGAGCCGGCGCGGGCCUACUCUUCGUCUCACCCCUUAGAAAACACCUACGCUAUGUUCUACGCCUCCAUUUCCCGGCGUCCAACAAUGUGGCUGAGUACGAAGCUCUGAUCAACGGAUUGCGAAUCGCCCUCGAGCUAGGGGUCCGACGCCUCGACGCUCGCGGCGACUCGCAGAUCGUCAUCGACCAAGUCAUGAAGAACUCCCACUGCCGCGACCCGAAGAUGGAGGCCUACUGUGAUGAGGUUCGGCGCCUGGAAGACAAGUUCUACGGGCUCGAGCUUAACCACAUCGCUCGGCGCUACAACGAGACUGCGGACGAGCUGGCAAAAAUAGCCUCGGGGCGAACGACGGUUCCCCCGGACGUCUUCUCCUAGGAUCUACACCAACCCUCCGUCAAGAUCAACGACACGCCCGAGCCCGAGGCACCCUCGGUCCAGCCUGAGGUACCCUCGGCCCGGCCCGAGGAUUCCUCGGUUCAGCCCGAGGUACCCUCGGCCCCCGAGGGCGAGGCGCUGCGCAUCGAGGAGGAGCGGAGCAAGGCCACGCCUGAUCGAGAUUGGCAGACCCCGUACCUGCAAUAUCUCCGCCAAGGAGAGCUACCCCUCGACCAAGCCGAGGCUCGGCGGGUAGCGCGACGCGCCAAGUCAUUCGUCUUGCUGGGCGAUGAGCAGGAGCUCUACCACCGCAGUCCCUCGGGCAUCCUCCAGCGAUGCAUCUCCAUCGCCGAAGGUCAGGAACUCCUGCAAGAGAUACACUCGGGGGCUUGCGGCCAUCUCGCAGUGCCUCGAGCCCUCGUCGGGAAUGCUUUCCGGCAAGGCUUCUACUGGCCAACGGCGGUGGCUGACGCCACUAGAAUUGUCCGCACCUGCGAAGGGUGCCAAUUCUAUGCGAAGCAGACCCACCUGCCCGCUCAGGCUCUUCAGACGAUACCCAUCACCUGGCCCUUCGCUGUGUGGGGUCUGGACCUCGUCGGUCCCUUGCAGAAGGCGCCCGGGGGCUACACACACCUGCUGGUCGCCAUCGACAAAUUCUCCAAGUGGAUCGAGGUCCGACCCCUGAACAGCAUCAGGUCCGAGCAGGCGGUGGCGUUCUUCACCAACAUCAUCCAUCGCUUCGGGGUCCCAAACUCCAUCAUCACCGACAACGGCACCCAGUUCACCGGCAGAAAAUUCUUGGAUUUUUGCGAGGAUCACCAUAUCCGGGUGGACUGGGCCGCCGUGGCUCAUCCCAUGUCAAAUGGGCAAGUAGAGCGUGCCAACGGCAUGAUUCUACAAGGGCUCAAGCCUCGGAUUUACAACGACCUCAACAAGUUCGGCAGGCGAUGGAUGAAGGAACUCCCCUCGGUGGUCUGGAGCCUGAGGACAACGCCGAGCCGAGCCACGGGUUUCACGCCGUUCUUCCUGGUCUACGGGGCCGAGGCCGUCUUGCCCACUGACCUGGAAUACGGCUCCCCGAGGACGAGGGCCUACGACGAUCAAAGAAACCAAGCUAGCCAAGAAGACUCGCUGGACCAGCUGGAAGAGGCUCGGGACAAGGCCUUACUACACUCGGCGCGGUAUCAGCAGUCCCUGCGGCGCUACCACGCCUGAGGGGUCCGACCCCGAGACCUCCAGGUGGGCGACCUGGUGCUUCGGCUGCGGCAAGACGCCCGAGGGAGGCACAAGCUCAUGCCCCCCUGGGAGGGGCCAUUCGUCAUUGCCAAAGUUCUAAAGCCCGGAACGUACAAGCUGGCCAACAAUCAAGGCGAGGUCUACGGCAACGCUUGGAACAUUCAACAGCUACGUCGCUUCUACCCUUAAGAUGUUUCCAAGUUGUUCAUAUACCUCGCACCCACGCAAAGUUUAGUCAACAAGGAAGGGUCGGCCUCGCCUCGGCAAAGCCCGACCCUCCCUCGGGGGCUAAAAGGGGGGAAACCCCCUCUGCGUCAAAAUUUUCCUCGAAAAAAGAUCUCUUUUACCAGAAUAUCUUUCGUGCUUUUUGACUACUUCGAAAAGUGGGUCCUGGAAACGACGGAGUACACGUAAGCAGCCAAGGCUGACUGAGCCGAGUGACUCCUACGCCUCCAGGAUACGGAUACCUCACUCAUCACCUUCUGCGAUAAGUAACUCGCGUUCGGAUAAAGUGGCUCCGCGGAUCGAACAAGUCUUUACGUUCGGAAGCCCUUCUGCCGAAGCGAUCCUUCGAGCCUUCUCGACCGAGUUGGUGACAGGGCCUCACGGACGGGUGAAAGUACGCGUAAGCGGCAAGGCCGACCGAGCCGAGGGACUCCCACGCCUCCGGGAUACGGAUACCUCACUCAUCACCUUCCGCGAGAAGCAACUCUUGCUCGCACAAACAUCCCUGUUACCGACAAAAAGUCCAGAUACUCAAAACAAGAGGAAAAGAGACGCAGCUUUACAACGCAGCGAGGGUGUGUGUUCUGGCCUCGGCGGCCGCACAAGGCACACGCUACAAGACAAUCUGAUCCUGCAGGCUUGGGUCUUGACGCUGGAAGGGGGCAGCAACACCCUCGGCAUCGACGACACCUUCGGCGAGGCCCGACCUAGCCUCGGACGGCGACGCGGUCCGAGGUUCUCCGCUCCGAAGGAUGACGUCAUCACCACGCCCGGGCAAUCGCUCCCAGGGACUUCCCCGGGAAUCCGGCCCGAGCAGGCGGCUCGGCUGGUUACCCCAGGGGCCUCGGCCGACCAUCUUCCAAGGGCGCCAGCCCGACCUGAGGCCUCGGCUGAUCAACUCCGACGUCGGUCCCGCCAACGGACAACCCGGCUAGGCUCCGGCCAACUAGGUUUCAUUCUCGAGCCGACUCCGCCUCUGUUCAUACUGAUAUCGCUACCCCUGGCCUCGGCUCGUCGAAGAGCGGCCGAGGGGUCUCUUUUACUAAGCUAGAGGAGCCUCGGACAGCAAGGCCGACCGAGCCGAGGGACUCCUACGCCUCCGGGAUACGGAUACCUCACUCGUCACCUUGACACGGGGCGACUCAUGCUUGGUGAAGCGGUUCAGAUAAUCAACAGAUGAGUCUUAGUGCUCAAAAAUGAGGGAAAAACACGGCUCCGUGCCGAAGUUACAUACAUGUUCAGGCCUCGACAGCCGCAAUGAACAAAAAACCCUGGCAUUCGAAGUGCCAUUACAAACGGAACUCCGGUUCCCCCUCCGCAGGUACGAACAACCCCACUCGAUAGGGGCGGGCCUGCGGGGCUACAGAAGACUGAUGAGCGGCUCGCCGCCGUCCGCUCUGACUACGACGACAACGGCCCCCACACCAGAUGGCCGAACUGCAGCAGCGCAGGCCUCAGGGUAGGCACUGCUGCAGUCUUGCUCUCGCCCACGCCGACGCUCGAGGGGCGAGGACAAGUACAAAGAGCCGGAGGCCCGAAGCGCGGAUGGUGGUGGUGAUCCCGUCGGCGACGGGGACUUCUCGAGCCGCCUCCGCCUCGGCACCGACGGCAGGAGCCAUCAGCCCUCCGGCAGAUCCCUACUCAAAUCCUCCCAGACGAGUGGGGCACCGGCCUCCGCGUGAAGGCGCCGUCCCGGUGCAAAGGCAGGACCACCCCAGAACACGAACGCCGCCCUAGCAGCGCGCGACAUCUAGGGUGGUCCUCCCGUGUACACGGCGCGGCAGCCGCCCUCCUGCAGAAGGGGCCGCCGGGAGCCAAGCCGACGAACCCGACACGCUGGAGGUGACGACGCCUGCCGUCGACCAGCCCCGCGUUGUCGAAGUCCGGGCCGCCCGCAGGGCCAGUGAGCGCCCUCUCCCUCGAAUGCCGCGGGUGAGGAUGACCCACGAACCCGCGCGGGAGGUAGAGCGCCGGCUCAGCCCGGCACCCACCCCAGCGAGGAUGAUGAGCAUCCUUGAAGCUGAGGGUGGGACCAAGAUCGCAGCCCGGCUUGCUCCUCCCCACCCAGGAACUGGUGGUCACCAUCUUGGGUGACCACCGGCAGGGGGGGGUGCAGCCGGGCUGGCUGAUGAAAAUCCUUGUAGCCGAACGAUGGCCGAAAGGUACCAACUCCCACGGAGUUGCGUCCCUCCAACGACGAGGCAAAAAGACGGCGGGUAUCCCCCAUCCGGGGGCUUGGAAGCUGGAAAGACACGGUGCAUAAGGAAGCGAGAAGACACGGUCGCCUUUCGAAAGGGGUCACCCUCCUUUUAAAGGCAACUCUCCCUGCUUGCGCCCCCAACCGUCACGGGCUGGGUCUUCUCCAACACGCUCCAAAGCCCUCCCCUGCGGCGCAGGGGCUGGGUCCCGCAUGUCAUGCGGACCGGCUCCGAGCAGAAGAAGCCAAACCGCCGCGCGUGGUGCACGCAACCGCCCAGCGGUUACAAGUGACCCUCCACUUUUGCCCAGACCAACGGGCGAAAGGGGCGGGCAGCCAUGUGUCACACCCGGGUUUCGGGGCACCAAGACCCGGGCGCGAACAUAAUCACCAGGUGUGCUGGGACCAAGUCUCACACAUAUGAUGAAUCAUGGCAUAGGAUCGAAUGUCACAUCUUUACUAAAUAACAGGAGUUCUGUACAAAAUAAAUAAUUACAUUAUAAGGAGACAACAGUCCAGCAACCCAAAGUUGACUGGGAGACGACGACCUAGACCUGUCACGAACUCGUCACAGCAUCCUCCAAGCGCCUCAUCCUGUGGUACCUGUUCUUGACCUGUGGGGGGUGUGAGACAGCAAGAGUGAGCUCACAUACGUUCAUCGCUCAACAAGUUGUGGGGAAUAAUGUGCAUGAACUCGCCAAAGGUGGGAGCUCACGUGAAGUGUAAGGCUUAACAAAGAGGAUGGUUAGAGCUGAGCAUUGCUUUUAAAGUUGGUCAAAAUUUUAUUAGCAAUUACUAAGUAUAAGUAAAUACCAACCCAAUUAAAUAGUAGAACAGAAGUAACAACAUCACCUGCGAUGCAAUGCAUAUGACAAAUUGAAUUUAAGUUCCAUAAAUUAAUCAUGUGAGGGUCCGAGCUGCUCAUGACCGUGAGCACGGCUAGUAUACCAGUUUUACACUCUGCAGAGGUUGCGCAUCUUUACCCACAAGUCAUGUUACCCAUCUGCCAAGGGAUCGCGACUUCCCAUACACCUCUACCGAGGAGGCGAGGCAGGGUAACACUACGAGGCCUUUACAAAGUUCCACUAGCUUCAGAAAACCCGCUACAGUUUAUAGGAAGCUCCAAUGCAGGAAUCCCUUGCAGGACCGCCAUCGCAGCAAAAUCCUCCCGAGGGCCUCCCUACACUGACCACUCCCCUACUGCCCUUGCCCCUUUCAGGUAAGGUAGUCUUCCACUAGCUUUCCUAAUUAAUCAGCCAAGGGCGUCCCAUUAAACCCUUGUGGUAGCACUGUUUUCCCGGGUGGUCGCUCCAUGUUCCAAUUAACAUAAUGAUCUUAUCAUGAACAGAAAUAAUAAACUGAUAAUAAAAGUGUAAUCAUGAAUAAUGUAUCUUCAUACCCAAAACCACAUAAAGCACUAGCAAGUACUACCCAAAAAGUUCAGUGGUAAACAAGGUAUAAAGAUAAUCAAACUAGGGUAAACUAUUGGGUCCCAUCAAAAUUAACCUAUGCAGAUCAUUAUGAUUAAUCAGAACAUGAGUAGGUAAAAAGAAGUGAUCAAGGGCACAACUUGCCUGGGACUUGAGAUUCCAGGUACCAACUUGCUUUUCAGAUGACUCGUGACCUUGCUAGUCGUAGCAAUACAACAAACAUGGUAUAGGAAAAAUUAACAUUACAUCAAACAUAAUAACAACUGCAUAAUAAUAUUCUACGCGUCGUAACGAGAUCGUAGGAACAAGAAUCACUAAAUUCGGAGUUACGAUUAUCAAGUUAUGAUUUUAUAAAGAUUUAAGUGUUGGACACAAAAGAAAUUGAGUGCAUAAAUUAUACCUUUGUUUCAUAAUAAAAUAAGGUUACCAAAUGAUAAACAAUAUUAUUAUGAAUUUAUAGCAACUGGAAUAAAUUAAUUCGGACCUAAGAUGAAUUAAAUAUGAAUUAUACAAGUUUCUGGAAUUAUUUUUAUACUAAAAAUCAAUUUUCCUAAUUAUUUCUCUAUUUUUAUCUCUCUGGACUGCACGUUAAAUUCCAGAAAGAUCAGGGGUUAUUUAGAAAAUAAUUCCCAAGACUCAUGAUUCCCCCAGUGUGGACGGCGGGUUAAAUACUAUGAAGUUCAGGGGCUCUUAAGAAAAAGGGAACUCGCGAAGGGGUACGGUGAGGUUUGGGUCGUCCGAUCCAAUCCGAACGGCCAAGAUUUCAAAUAGGUGAUAUCCCAACGUAUCCCUCCGAUUACAUAUCAACGGCCAGAUCGAAAUAGAGCGCAGGGGUAUGAGAGAUCUAAUCUAAACCGUUGAUAGCGGAUUGAACGGCGAGGGGCCAUCUUCUUCCUCCCGCGUCUUCUCCCUCCACCGCAGCCAACGCGGCGGCGAGGAACCUACCGCGACGGCGCCAACUUUAGCCGCGGCGGCGAUCUCGCCGACGAGGAGGUGGUCGGGAAACACAGCGCUCUCUUCAAUCUACCGACUGCGCCCACGAAGGCCACCCAUAUCCCAUGGCCGCGCUGCACACUGACAGUCCUAAUCCCACGUACGCACUGCCUAGGAGCCCAAACGAGACUAACCCAGUCUUCAUUACGAACAGAAUAAGGUGCAUCGUACAGGGGGGUUAUUACCGUGAAUCAUAUGGGGUACAGAACCACACCGGCGCUGACGCCAAAGGAGAUUCUCGGCCACCCCGAAGCUUCGUGUACACGGAUGACCUCUGCACGUCAUCAGCUCUCCAAGGCGCAUGAAGUAGCUACGCCAGGGUUCGGCUCUCGGUGUUGGCAUGGUGAACGAGGGAGGUUUGGCUGGCAUAUAUAUACGCUAAGGAGAUUUCCUCCAUGCCGAGUGGACGGAGUCUGUUACGGAGUUUGUUGAGUCUGAUUCGUGGCCAGGAGAUCGAACCCAGCAGAGUUUGUUACGGGAAUCGAUUUAAUCUAGGCCCCCUGGUCAGCCAAAUAAUUCAUACGCGAACGUGGGCGAGCAGUACCCAAUGAAUGGGCUGAAUCUACGACCAUACAGAUUAGUGGCUAGAGGAAUAAAAAUAAAACGUCAAUAGCUGGAUGGCCUGGUACGUGAAGCAAAGUGGCAUGGGCUGAGAAAGAAGAAAAAAAAAUGGCCGACGAGGUAGUAUUCUUUUCCUUUUUCUUUCACAUUUUUUGUCUUUCUCUAUUUCUAUCUUCCUUUGUCUUUCUAAGGUUUCAAAUUCGAUUUAAAUUAAAUUUUAGUUUUGAUUCACAAACUCAAAUGCAACAACCAAAGAUCCCAGCAUGAGAUGCACAUUUGUUUUAUAUUUAUUUAAUUAUUACUUGCUCUAAUCAAGCCCAUAAAUGUGGAUGUGCAUAAAAUUAAAACAAAGUCUCAUAAAACCAUAUAACUUAUAAAUCUUUUUUUUACUUCCCUAAAUUUUGGAUACUACAAAUCCUACCCCCCUUAAAAAUAAUCUCGUCCUCGAGAUUUAUAAGAAAAAGGGAUACAUAAGGAUUGGUUUGUAAUUUAGCUUCUAAUCUAUAAUUGGUUCAAAAAUCUAGAGUUUCAUUUUUUUUUUAUAGUCAAUACGGGUUGAUUAGGAUAGCAUAGGUAUCCGGCUACUUAUUAUGUGCAUAUAAGCUGGACAGGUUGUGGUAAGAAAGAUUAUGGCCAGGAGAAGACUUCAUCCGAAAUAUUUGAAUCUUGAUUCAUCUCGAGCUUCGCUUUGACUGUUAUAUCCUUCCUUGUCGAUGUCGAUCUUUUCUUCUCCAGUCUUGGUCUCAUUGAUUCCUGGUUAGUGUAUAUCAUCGGUUGGGGAAUAUGGUUAAGUUAGAUAUAGAUGAGAUAGACUACAUGAUGUAGGUCAAAAGUCUGUUUGAUGUUAGGUGGGGAUAGUUAGAUUACACCAAUCAUCAUGACUCUAUGGGUUAGGUUAGCUCAUGGUUGAGUUGGCCGAAGGCACGAAUUUUAGGUUAAAAACCCAUUUAUAUGAAUAUGGUUUAGUUAAUACUCGUAACAUAGAUUUUUCCAUAUUAGAUUAGGUAGGGUCUAGAUUAGAUUGGAUAUAACUAGAUUAAACUUAGUUUAAGUUAGAUAGGUCUACCAGGGUAGAAUAUGUAUUAUUAAUAUGUGUCAGAAUCCUUUGAGAUAGGAUGAAUUAUAUAGUGUAGGUAGGUCAGAAUCUUUGUCAGGUUAAAACCAAGGGGUUAUGCAACUAUCGGAUGGUUAAGGUAGUUGCAUAUGGCCGAGUUGGUCGGUGGUUCUUUAUUUAGUGUAAAAUGAACUAAGAUAAAACAUGUUCUAUAGGAGUAGAGUCUAAUCCAUUUUAUCAGUAUUAACUUUCAUGUUUAGUAAGUCACUUUAGAUUAGAUCAGAUUUAAGUAUGACUAGCUUCGACUAGACAAGAUCCAAUUAAUUUAGGUUAGAUCAUGAUCAUGGUGGGAUAAAUCAUGUGGUUUUAGUCACACAAAUAUAACUUAGAUCUGAUAUCAUUCUUUUGGAUAAGAUCCUAGUUGUUACUUUAGGAUGAGAUAAGUAAAGUGGUUAGGAUAAGAUGAAUCCUUCAAGAUAAGAUGAAUCUACUAAGAUAAGAGAGAAUCUUUUAAGAUAAGAUGGAUCCAUUAGGCUUAAUAUAUUUUUAAUAGGGAAUAUUCUGUGUUGUCUAUUUUAUAAAUAUUUUCCCUUAUGCCUAGGUGUAUAUACAGAUGCAAUUGUGGACAUUACUCCACAACUCAUCACACUCAAUCAAAGAUCCAAAUCAGACAAGUAUCAUAAGAACAAACAUUGAAGCACAUAGAUACCUACAAAAAUAGUUUUGUUUUUGUUCCAGAGAGUAGGGAUCCUAUUCCUAAAGGUCACUUUAGGCACAGGAUUUCAAAGUGUGAAAUCCACAUUUGUCUUUAGAAGGAAAAGGUAAGAGUAAUCAGAGUAAAGCGGAAAUAGAUGAGAAAAGAUUAAGAAAAGUUUAGAAAGAAUCAGAGUAGCAAAGGUAAGUAAGUAAUGGUUGUCCAGUUCUAUAUAGGUUUCGUCCUACAGUCAACAUUCCUCUGAUACCACUUCUGUCACACCCGGGUUUCGGGGCACCAAGACCCGGGCGCGAACAUAAUCACCAGGUGUGCUGGGACCAAGUCUCACACAUAUGAUGAAUCAUGGCAUAGGAUCGAAUGUCACAUCUUUACUAAAUAACAGGAGUUCUGUACAAAAUAAAUAAUUACAUUAUAAGGAGACAACAGUCCAGCAACCCAAAGUUGACUGGGAGACGACGACCUAGACCUGUCACGAACUCGUCACAGCAUCCUCCAAGCGCCUCAUCCUGUGGUACCUGUUCUUGACCUGUGGGGGGUGUGAGACAGCAAGAGUGAGCUCACAUACGUUCAUCGCUCAACAAGUUGUGGGGAAUAAUGUGCAUGAACUCGCCAAAGGUGGGAGCUCACGUGAAGUGUAAGGCUUAACAAAGAGGAUGGUUAGAGCUGAGCAUUGCUUUUAAAGUUGGUCAAAAUUUUAUUAGCAAUUACUAAGUAUAAGUAAAUACCAACCCAAUUAAAUAGUAGAACAGAAGUAACAACAUCACCUGCGAUGCAAUGCAUAUGACAAAUUGAAUUUAAGUUCCAUAAAUUAAUCAUGUGAGGGUCCGAGCUGCUCAUGACCGUGAGCACGGCUAGUAUACCAGUUUUACACUCUGCAGAGGUUGCGCAUCUUUACCCACAAGUCAUGUUACCCAUCUGCCAAGGGAUCGCGACUUCCCAUACACCUCUACCGAGGAGGCGAGGCAGGGUAACACUACGAGGCCUUUACAAAGUUCCACUAGCUUCAGAAAACCCGCUACAGUUUAUAGGAAGCUCCAAUGCAGGAAUCCCUUGCAGGACCGCCAUCGCAGCAAAAUCCUCCCGAGGGCCUCCCUACACUGACCACUCCCCUACUGCCCUUGCCCCUUUCAGGUAAGGUAGUCUUCCACUAGCUUUCCUAAUUAAUCAGCCAAGGGCGUCCCAUUAAACCCUUGUGGUAGCACUGUUUUCCCGGGUGGUCGCUCCAUGUUCCAAUUAACAUAAUGAUCUUAUCAUGAACAGAAAUAAUAAACUGAUAAUAAAAGUGUAAUCAUGAAUAAUGUAUCUUCAUACCCAAAACCACAUAAAGCACUAGCAAGUACUACCCAAAAAGUUCAGUGGUAAACAAGGUAUAAAGAUAAUCAAACUAGGGUAAACUAUUGGGUCCCAUCAAAAUUAACCUAUGCAGAUCAUUAUGAUUAAUCAGAACAUGAGUAGGUAAAAAGAAGUGAUCAAGGGCACAACUUGCCUGGGACUUGAGAUUCCAGGUACCAACUUGCUUUUCAGAUGACUCGUGACCUUGCUAGUCGUAGCAAUACAACAAACAUGGUAUAGGAAAAAUUAACAUUACAUCAAACAUAAUAACAACUGCAUAAUAAUAUUCUACGCGUCGUAACGAGAUCGUAGGAACAAGAAUCACUAAAUUCGGAGUUACGAUUAUCAAGUUAUGAUUUUAUAAAGAUUUAAGUGUUGGACACAAAAGAAAUUGAGUGCAUAAAUUAUACCUUUGUUUCAUAAUAAAAUAAGGUUACCAAAUGAUAAACAAUAUUAUUAUGAAUUUAUAGCAACUGGAAUAAAUUAAUUCGGACCUAAGAUGAAUUAAAUAUGAAUUAUACAAGUUUCUGGAAUUAUUUUUAUACUAAAAAUCAAUUUUCCUAAUUAUUUCUCUAUUUUUAUCUCUCUGGACUGCACGUUAAAUUCCAGAAAGAUCAGGGGUUAUUUAGAAAAUAAUUCCCAAGACUCAUGAUUCCCCCAGUGUGGACGGCGGGUUAAAUACUAUGAAGUUCAGGGGCUCUUAAGAAAAAGGGAACUCGCGAAGGGGUACGGUGAGGUUUGGGUCGUCCGAUCCAAUCCGAACGGCCAAGAUUUCAAAUAGGUGAUAUCCCAACGUAUCCCUCCGAUUACAUAUCAACGGCCAGAUCGAAAUAGAGCGCAGGGGUAUGAGAGAUCUAAUCUAAACCGUUGAUAGCGGAUUGAACGGCGAGGGGCCAUCUUCUUCCUCCCGCGUCUUCUCCCUCCACCGCAGCCAACGCGGCGGCGAGGAACCUACCGCGACGGCGCCAACUUUAGCCGCGGCGGCGAUCUCGCCGACGAGGAGGUGGUCGGGAAACACAGCGCUCUCUUCAAUCUACCGACUGCGCCCACGAAGGCCACCCAUAUCCCAUGGCCGCGCUGCACACUGACAGUCCUAAUCCCACGUACGCACUGCCUAGGAGCCCAAACGAGACUAACCCAGUCUUCAUUACGAACAGAAUAAGGUGCAUCGUACAGGGGGGUUAUUACCGUGAAUCAUAUGGGGUACAGAACCACACCGGCGCUGACGCCAAAGGAGAUUCUCGGCCACCCCGAAGCUUCGUGUACACGGAUGACCUCUGCACGUCAUCAGCUCUCCAAGGCGCAUGAAGUAGCUACGCCAGGGUUCGGCUCUCGGUGUUGGCAUGGUGAACGAGGG
rnacentral:lncRNA from 1 species